rnacentral:lncRNA from 1 species
GUUUUCAUUUCAUUAUCCUGUUUUACAGCGCCAGUUUGAAUGGGGCAGGAGGCACUGGCUUGGAAUCAUUCCAGAAACCUUUCUCAAGCAGCUGAAUAUUCGUCUUCAUUAGGGCAUCAUCACCCCACCACACUCCAGUGCUGAUUCCUGUUAACACAGAGCGAAUGUGCAAAACGGGUGUUGGGGGAGGCCACAUGACGGGGAUGAGGCGAGGAGAAAGGUGGAAUACUGAACGAAUGACAGAGUUUGGGAGGACAGGACAAGCUUCAACGAGAUUAUGAAGGACGCACUGAUCUCAUUGCUCAUCUGCUCCAGCAACGUGCCCCUCGUACUGAUACAGAGAGACAUGAAGUGCUGAAGAAAUCAAGGACAUUAGCAAAGGAAGUGUCUUUGAUCCGUUUUAUCUUUUAUUCCCCCAGUGUUUGGCUCCUAGACGAUUAAUGAAUGGGCUAAUCAUUUAAAGGAUUUCUGGACACAGAUUAAUUGUACACCUUCACAAUAAAAGCAAAGACAAACAGCCGGGACCCAGAAUUGUCCGUUUUGUGGAGAAUGCCCAGCUCUUGGUCUCUGAAAACCUUCAAGUGCUUCCAAAUCAUCUUUCAAAAUUCAGCUGGACCUGUCUUCCACCUGAGCUGUGCUCUACAUGACCUCGUCUAUCCUCUCUGCACUGGACAUCACAGACACUGCACUUGCUGGUAUGACUUCCUUACUGGUAG